AACGAACGCUGGCGGCAGGCCUAACACAUGCAAGUCGAACGAAGUCUUCGGACUUAGUGGCGCACGGGUGAGUAACACGUGGGAAUAUACCUUACGCUGGGGGAUAACAUCGGGAAACUGAUGCUAAUACCGCAUACGCCCUUCGGGGGAAAGAUUUAUCGGCGAAAGAUUAGCCCGCGUCCGAUUAGCUAGUUGGGGAGGUAAUGGCCCACCAAGGCUCCGAUCGGUAGCUGGUCUGAGAGGAUGACCAGCCACACUGGGACGGGGACACGGCCCAGACUCCUACGGGAGGCAGGAGAGGGGAAUAUUGGACAAUGGGCGCAAGCCUGAAGCAGCCAUGCCGGGUGAGUGAUGAAGGCCGUAGGGUUGUAAAGCUCUUUCACCCACGACGAUGAUGACGGUAGUGGGAGAAGAAGCCCCGGCUAACUUCGUG
rnacentral:rRNA from 1 species